rnacentral:rRNA from 1 species
UACGAAGGGGGCUAGCGUUGUUCGGAAUCACUGGGCGUAAAGCGCACGCAGGCGGAUCGAUAAGUCGGGGGUGAAAGCCCGGGGCUCAACCUCGGAAUUGCCUUCGAUACUGUCGGUCUCGAGUCCGGGAGAGGUGAGUGGAAUUCCUAGUGUAGAGGUGAAAUUCGUAUAUAUUAGGAAGAACGCCAGUGGCGAAGGCGGCUCACUGGCCCGGUACUGACGCUCAGGUGAGAAAGCGUGGGGAGCAAACAGG